UACGUAGGGGGCAAGCGUUGUCCGGAAUCAUUGGGCGUAAAGAGCGUGUAGGCGGCCCGAUAAGUCCGCUGUGAAAGUCCAGGGCUCAACCCUGGAAUGCCGGUGGAUACUGUCGGGCUCGAGUCCGGAAGAGGUGAGUGGAAUUCCUGGUGUAGCGGUGAAAUGCGCAGAUAUCAGGAGGAACACCCAGUGGCGAAGGCAGGCUCACU
rnacentral:rRNA from 1 species